CUGUUGGUCUUCAUCUGUGUACUAAGGAAGCCAGAGAGCUGAUAAGGUUCUCAGGAAACUCAACAAUAUUUUUUUUUAUCAACAAACAUCCACUCAAACAUUAGAAGCACUGCAGAUACUGAGAAUAUAAGCGUUCACCCGGUCAGUCUUAGACCCGGGAAUUUGUCCAUAAAAACCAGCACACAGAGUUCUCUGUAGAUCCACCUCCUGGAUUCUGGACGUCUUCCUGAGUUCCAGCUCUCUGUGUCUUCUGUGUUUCUAGUAGUUUAACUUCCUGUGAUGCCUUUUUUUCUGUCGGCUGACGAUCAGCUCUUCCAUGUUUUCAUGGGGAAGUAAACUGGAAGGGGGCAUUGCAGCUCUCAGACUGGGAUAUAAGGCUGGCCGAAUCUCUUUGUUUAGUGGACUGAUGUUUAGCUCCGUAUUUACCUCAAUAGCUGCUGGAUUUUAGGUUGACUUCACCAGUGGGAAUGUCUUGGUCCAUCCAGGCUGAUGGACCUACCCGGUGUUCAACAACCAGUUCACAAUGCAGAGCAGAGGGGAAAAUAAAUAAUUUUAAUACAAUUAUAUUUCAAGAAUUAUUUGCAGAAUUAGAAAUCGACAACCUUUUGGACAAUUGAUUCCUAAUGUUAUGUUCACUAGCCAUUACAGGGAGUAAUGGACUACUGAGAUGAUGGCGAAAAACGUUGUAAGACUCACAGUUUGCUCGCCCUCACAGCAGGAGUGCUGACAUCUCAUGCAGAAUUAGCAGGUCAGCUAACAAUAAUAAAAAUAACGCCUACGUGUCCCUUUAAAUACCACUAAUCCAAAUAUGAAUGUGUGACUGAGUGCUGGCGGCGGCGUGCUGCGAUUGGCCACAAUCAGAACACAACAAACUGUGGUCAACACAACAGAACUAGUGGCAGCUGUUGUCUUAGCAUUAGCAGAGCUUUAGCGUUAGCAUGAGCAGCUGGGAUAACGGAGAUACAAUUUAGCACCUUUUAGAAGGACU